GACGAACGCUGGCGGCGUGCUUAACACAUGCAAGUCGAACGGAAAGGCCCUGCUUUUGUGGGGUUCUCGAGUGGCGAACGGGUGAGUAACACGUGAGUAACCUGCCCUUGACUUUGGGAUAACUUCAGGAAACUGGGGCUAAUACCGGAUAGGAGCUCCUGCUGCAUGGUGGGGGUUGGAAAGUUUCGGCGGUUGGGGAUGGACUCGCGGCUUAUGAGCUUGUUGGUGGGGUAGUGGCUUACCAAGGCUUUGACGGGUAGCCGGCCUGAGAGGGUGACCGGCCACAUUGGGACUGAGAUACGGAGCAGACUCCUACGGGAGGCAGCAGUGGGGAGUCUUGCACAAUGGGCGGAAGCCUGAUGCAGCAACGCCGCGUGCGGGAUGAUGGGCUUCGGGGUGUAAACAGCUGUCGCCUGUGACGAAGCGUGAGUGACGGUAAUGGGUAAAGAAGCACCGGCUAACUACGUG
rnacentral:rRNA from 1 species